rnacentral:rRNA from 1 species
UGAGUGGCGGACGGGUGAGUAACGCGUGGGCAACCUGGCCUGUACAGGGGGAUAACACUUAGGAAUAGGUGCUAAUACCGCAUAACGGGGGAAGCCGCAUGGCUUUUCCCUGAAAACUCCGGUGGUACAGGAUGGGCCCGCGUCUGAUUAGCCAGUUGGCAGGGUAACGGCCUACCAAAGCGACGAUCAGUAGCCGGCCUGAGAGGGCGGACGGCCACACUGGGACUGAGACACGGCCCAGACUCCUACGGGAGGCAGCAG